UGACCUCGAUCAGGACGUGAUUACCCGGCUGAAUUUAAGCAUAUUAUUAAGCGGAGGAAAAGAAACUAACAAGGAUUCCCCUAGUAACGGCGUAGUGAACGGGGGAAGAGCCCAACACGAAUCCCUUGGCGCAAGUCAACGGGAAAUGUGGUGUUAAGCGUAGCCCUUCGUGUCAGUCUAGGCGUCUCAAGUCCACCCUGAUUGUGGCUCAAGCCCAGAGAGGGUGUAAGGCCCGUAGAGACGCUCGCCGACUGGAUUCCCUGGGGUUUACCUACGAGUCGGCUUGUUUGGGAAUGCAGGCCAAAGCGGGUGGUAAACUCCAUCCAAGGCUAAAUACUGGCACGAGUCCGAUAGCGGACAAGUACCGGUGAGGGAAAGUUGAAAAGAACUUUGAAGAGAGAGUUUCAAUAGUACGUGAAACCGCUUUAGAGGCAAACGGAUGGUGCUCAUACUGGCCUGAGGAAUUCAACUGUGACGUGUGGCCUGGACGAGCUUGGCGUUCCGAUCUCUCUUUUGGGACGGGCGUCGGUUUGGCUAUCAGCUGGCCGACAUGGUGCACUUUCCUUGGUGCCGCUCCGCCACGACCGACGACACUUUCGGCCUAACCCGCGACUGGGGUAACGGUGAAAGACUGGCUUUCGGCAAUUGUGUUAAUAGACCCCGGCGUCGGACAUGGUUUGGCCCAGGACGAGUCGAGCUUGGCGCGCGCGCCCGGCAAUCUCUGUUGGUGGCCUCGCAUGUUGGCUAGCUAGGGAUUGGCUGGCCGAUGCUUGCACACUGGACAACCAGUACACGGGUGACCGGUUGUGGUCUUGUCUUAGUUGGCCGCUCGCCUGCAUUUGGGCGCCUAUAGUCCUGUGGUGUACUUGUGGUAGACUAUCCGACCCGUCUGAAACACGGGACCUAAGGAGUCUAACAUGUGCGCGAGUCAUGGGGAUUCUACGAAACCCAAAGCGCAGUGAAAGUAAAGGCCUUGCUUCUCGUAGGCUGAGGUGGGAUACUCGCUGCAUCGCGAUUGGCGAGCGCACGCAGCCACCGGCCCUGUCCUAUCUGUCUCUGUCAGUGGGGCGCGCAGAGCGUACACGUUGGGACCCGAAAGAUGGUGAACUAUGCCUGUGCCGCAGCUCGAAGUCAGUGGAGAAACACUGCAUGGAGGAAGCGCAGCGUUUCUGAUGACGUGCAAUCGAUCGUCAAACCAGUGAGUAUAGGGGCGAAAGACUAAUCGAACCAGUCUAGUAGCUGGUUCCCUCUCCGAAGGUUUCCCUCAGGCAAUAGCUGGCACUCUCGGAAACAAGUUGGGUUAAUCCGGUAAAAGCGAAUGAUUAGAGGCAUUGGGCGUCGAAACGACGACCUCGACCUAUUCUCAAACUUUAAAUGGGUAAGACUUGCUCGUCUCGCUUAAUUGGGAGCGGGCUUCACCUCUCUAGUAUACAGACGGUGGAAUGUGAGUGCCCAGUGGGCCAUUUUUGGUAAGCCAGAACUGGCGCGCUGUGGGAUGAACCAAUACGCGCGGUUAAGGCGCCAAUGCGGACGCUCAUCCAUGAGACAGAGGGCCACAAAAGGUGUGUGGUCGAUACUGACAGACAGGACGGUGGCAUGGAAGUCCGGAACCCGCUAAGGACAGUGUGUAACAACUCACCUGCCGACAUCAACCAGCCCCUGAAAAUGGAUGGCGCGCUGGAGAGCGUCGCGGGCCUAUACCGUUUGCCGUGUUGGCGGCGAAGCAGACAAAGUAAUCUGUGUGGAUGUCCCCAAGCGAGUAGGAGGGUCGCCGUGGUGAGCGCGAAGGUCGGCCGUGAGGCGGCUGGAGCCCGCCACGGGCGCCAGAUCUUGGUGGUAGGUAGCAAUUACUCAACAGUGAGAACCUUGAGACCGACUGAAGUGGAGAAGGGUUCCAUGUGAACCGCAGUUGAGACAUGGGGUCAGGGCGGGCGUCAGGCCGUCCUAAGCGAUCGGGCUAACUCCGUACGCAAGACCGAGGGUGACAACUAUCGCACUGAUAAUACUGUUGAAGUGUUAUAGCCCUCCGGACGCGAAGGAGAUUCGUGUGUUAAUAUUCGACGACCCCUUACCGGUGGAGGAUCGCCCCUUUCGGGGGGCAAGUGCGGGGUAACGCAAACGAACACAGAGACGGAUCGUGCUGAGUCCAGCGGGAAGAGAUGUUCUCUUUUCUUUGUAAGGGAGCGGCUACCCCUGGAAUCGGCUUGUCACGGAGAUAGGGCGUGGCUUCCGUAAAGCAGACGCGCGGGUCUUGCGCUGUGUCCGGUGCACUCUAGUCGGCCCUUGAAAAGUCUGUGGAGACAGUGUGAUUUUGCACGCGUAGGCCGUACCCAUAUCCGCGCAGCAGGUCUCCAAGGUGAACAGCCUCUAGUCGCUAGAACAAUGUAGGUAAGGAAGUCCGGCCCAAAAUGGAUCCGUAACUUCGGGGAAAGAGGAUGGCUGCUGAGGCUGGGUCGGAUGGCUGGCGCUAAGAAGCUGAUUUCCGGUUUUGGUGAGGACUGGGUGGAGAGGCUUUCGGGCUUUACUCGGACCAUGCCGAGACCAGGCAGUAGACAACGUCAGCUGUGGCUUGUCGUGUUUCGGGCGCGCAGCAUUCGUCCGGCAACAACAGGCCAACUCAGAACUGGGCACGGACUAGGGGAAGUCCGACCUGUCUAAUUAAAACAAUAGCAUUGCGAUGGCUGUUGCUCGUGUUAGACUGCAAUGUGAUGGCAUUCUUGCUCAGAUCCUGCUCUGAAUGUCCAAAGUGAAGAAGAAUUCAAUCAAGCGCGCGCGUUUGUAAAACGGCGGGAGUAAGCUAUGACUCUCUUAAGGUAGCCAAAAUGCCGUCGUCAUCUAAUUAGUGACGCGCAUGAAUGGAUUAACGAUGUAGAUUCCACUGUCCCUAUCUACUAUAUCUAGCGAAACCACAGCCAGAGGGAACGGGGUUGCAAUGAAUGUCAGCGGGGAAAGGAAGACCCCAUGUGAGCUUGACAUCUAGUCGACUUUGUGAAGAGACAUGAGAGGUGUAGUAUAGGUGGAGCCGUCAGCGACUUUGAAAUAACGCACUACUAUUAUCGUUUCUGUUACUUAUUGCAGUGAAGCGGGGAGCGGCCUUCAGCGGCGUACGUUCUGGUGUAUAAAGCGGCUGGCCCUCGCGGCCGGCGUGACUCUGCUCUGAAGACAGUGUCAGGCGGGAGUUUUUGACUGAGAGGACGAGGAUAUCAUCUGGGUCAGAGAAGGAUAAGACACGAGUGACAGCGGUGAGUCCAAAGAAUGAGCUCAGUCAGGACAGAACCUGGAGUAAGCAAAAAGGCAAAAAGCGUCAUUUGAUUUUGUUAGGAUUAUAAGAUCAGAUAAAGAUACGAAUAACAAGACGACGGUGAAAGCGCGGCCUAUCGAUCGCCUUUGAUUAAUCAGAGUUUGAUGGCAAGGGGUGUCAGAAAAAGUUACAACAGGGAGGAUAACUGGCUUGUGGGGCGGCCAAGCGUUUCAUGGAGGCCGGAAAAAAAAAAAAAGAGGAACCGUCGCUUUUUGGAGUCCUUCGAUGUCGGCCUCUCCAUAUCAAUCUGUGAAGCAGAAUUCACCAAGCGUUGGAUUUGUUGCGACUACCACCAAUAGCGGACGUGAGCUGGGUUUAGACCGUCCGUGAACAAGGUUAGUUUACCCUAACUGGAUGUCUUGGUCGUGCUGAGUAAUCCUGCUUAGUACGGAGAGAACGCGCAGGUCCGCAGCAUUUUGUUUAUGUGCUUGGUUCGAAGAACAAUGGUGCGAAAGCUAACCAUGCAUGAGGGAUGUAAAGACUGAAGCCUGAUGAGUCUGAAUCCCGCCCAGGAAUAUGCAACGAUACUAUCGGUGCCCCUACGCCGGGAGGGCAAUCGAUUAGUACUCGGGCCCGAAAUCCGAUUUCGGCGGCCGGAGACUGGCUAAAGCCACUGCGAUAGCUGGCCCAGACACCCCUGUCUUGAAAUUGUGGCAGGAGGCGACAGACUUACGGAUACGCGACAUUGAUUGAGACGUAGGGGUUCUAUAUCGUUUGUAGACGCACUAUAGAUAAUCGGUCGGGGUGCCGUACUUAAGUUAGCAGUUUCCUUGCGACUGGCAGAUCUAUUGAGCUGGGAAGCCUUUUGACGGGGAGAUAUGU
rfam:Macrostomum lignano unitig_27009, whole genome shotgun sequence.